AUUGAACGCUGGCGGCAGGCUUAACACAUGCCAGUCGAGCGGGGAAACGUAGCUUGCUACUUUACCUAGCGGCGGACGGGUGAGUAAUGCUUAGGAAUCUGCCUAUUAGUGGGGGACAACAUCUCGAAAGGGAUGCUAAUACCGCAUACGUCCUACGGGAGAAAGCAGGGGACCUUCGGGCCUUGCGCUAAUAGAUGAGCCUAAGUCGGAUUAGCUAGUUGGUGGGGUAAAGGCCUACCAAGGCGACGAUCUGUAGCGGGUCUGAGAGGAUGAUCCGCCACACUGGGACUGAGACACGGCCCAGACUCCUACGGGAGGCAGCAGUGGGGAAUAUUGGACAAUGGGGGGAACCCUGAUCCAGCCAUGCCGCGUGUGUGAAGAAGGCCUUUUGGUUGUAAAGCACGUUAAGCGAGGAGGAGGCUACCGAGAUUAAUACUCUUGGAUAGUGGACGUUACUCGCAGAAUAAGCACCGGCUAACUCUGUG
rnacentral:rRNA from 1 species